rnacentral:rRNA from 2 species
ACGGGUGAGUAACGCGUGGGAACAUACCCAACUCUACGGAAUAACUCAGGGAAACUUGUGCUAAUACCGUAUACGCCCUUCGGGGGAAAGAUUUAUCGGAGUUGGAUUGGCCCGCGUUGGAUUAGCCAGUUGGUGGGGUAAAGGCCUACCAAGGCGACGAUCCAUAGCUGGUCUGAGAGGAUGAUCAGCCACAUUGGGACUGAGACACGGCCCAAACUCCUACGGGAGGCAGCAGUGGGGAAUAUUGGACAAUGGGCGCAAGCCUGAUCCAGCCAUGCCGCGUGUGUGAUGAAGGCCUUAGGGCUGUAAAGCACUUUCACCGGAGAAGAUAAUGACGGUAUCCGGAGAAGAAGCCCCGGCUAACUUCGUGCCAGCAGCCGCGGUAAUACGAAGGGGGCUAGCGUUGUUCGGAAUUACUGGGCGUAAAGCGCACGUAGGCGGAUCGAUCAGUCAGGGGUGAAAUCCCAGAGCUCAACUCUGGAACUGCCUUUGAUACUGUCGGUCUAGAGUAUGGAAGAGGUGAGUGGAAUUCCGAGUGUAGAGGUGAAAUUCGUAGA